rnacentral:rRNA from 1 species
UGAGUACGAGCGGCUACGGCCGCGAAGUGGAUGAUGUCAAGCUUCCAAGAAAAGCCCUAUACCCGUUAAGGCAUGAUGGCCUGUACCCGAAACCGACACAGGUGGGGUGGUAGAGAAUACCGAGGGGCGCGAGGUAACUCUCUCUAAGGAACUCGGCAAAAUGGCCCCGUAACUUCGGGAGAAGGGGUGCCACCGCGAGGUGGUCGCAGUGAAGAGGCCCAGGCGACUGUUUACCAAAAACACAGGUCUCCGCUAAGUCGCAAGACGAUGUAUGGGGGCUGACGCCUGCCUAGUGCCGGAAGGUUAAGGAAGCUGGUCAGCGCAAGCGAAGCUGGCGACUGAAGCCCCGGUGAACGGCGGCCGUAACAAUAACGGUCCUAAGGUAGCGAAAUUCCUUGUCGGGUAAGUUCCGACCCGCACGAAAGGCGUAACGAUCUGGGCGCUGUCUCGGAGAGAGGCUCGGCGAAAUAGAAUUGUCUGUGAAGAUGCGGACUACGUGCACCCGGACAGAAAGACCCUAUGAAGCUUUACUGUAGCUUGGUAUUGUGCUCGGGCUCGGAAUGCGCAGGAUAGGUGGGAGGCUUUGAUCCAUUGCUUGCGGGUGAUGGUGAGCCACUGGUGAGAUACCACUCUUUCCGAGCUAGAGUUCUAACAGCAACCCGUUAUCCGGGUGCUGGACAGUAUCAGGUGGGCAGUUUGACUGGGGCGGUCGCCUCCUAAAAGGUAACGGAGGCGCGCAAAGGUCUGCUCAGGCUGGUUGGAAAUCAGCCGACGAGUGUAAAAGCAGAAGCAGGCUUGACUGUGAGACCUACAAGUCGAACAGGGAGGAAACUCGGCUUUAGUGAUCCGACGGUUCUGCGUGGAAGGGCCGUCGCUCAACGGAUAAAAGUUACUCUAAGGAUAACAGGCUGAUCUCCCCCAAGAGUUCACAUCGACGGGGAGGUUUGGCACCUCGAUGUCGGCUCAUCGCAACCUGGGGCUGAAGUCGGUCCCAAGGGUUGGGCUGUUCGCCCAUUAAAGCGGUACGCGAGCUGGGUUCAGAACGUCGUGAGACAGUUCGGUCCAUAUCCGGUGCACGCGCAGGAAUAUUGAGAGGAUUUCUCCCUAGUACGAGAGGACCGGGAGGAACGCACCUCUGGUGUGCCAGUUAUCGUGCCAACGGUAAACGCUGGGUAGCCAUGUGCGGAGUGGAUAACCGCUGAAAGCAUCUAAGUGGGAAGCCCACCUCAAGAUGAGUAUUCCCAUGGCAUAAGCCAGUAAGGUCACGGGAAGAACACCCGUUGAUAGGCUCUACGUGGAAGCGCAGUAAUGUGUGAAGCGGAGGAGUACUAAUAGACCGAGGGCUUGAC